AAACCGUUUAGACAUGUCACCAUGGAAACGUUGAACCCUCACGUCCUGCUGACAGAACAUAAACAGGAAUCAAGCUGAAGAUGAAAUUAGAAAAGAAAUGGACCGCAUUACUAACACACUGGUAAAGAGACCUUUGCAGAGAUCUUCUCAGUUUGAGCCUUCACGUCGACAGGAGCCGACGCAGCAGCAGCCUUGGCCUUCUCCUCUUCCUCCUGCUGCCACAGGACGACGGGGUCGAUGCCUGGGCUCCGAUUCUGGGCGUUCUGCUCCAGCUGUGCUGGACUGGAGUGGAAACAAGAGCAAGCAGACGUCUGAGUCCCCUCCUCUGUCUUUGUUCUGACAAAGAGGCUGCUGUGACUCCGCCCAUUCUCCUGUGGUUCUUGCGAAGAAGUCCCAGCUGCCUGCACUUCAGUAAUUAGGCUCUGUGAAAGUAAGGGGCUCUGCUGCACCCCUCAGUGUCGGCUCUUUUUGUUUCCUGGCUUGGUGGCUUGGUCCUGUGAGUUUUGGUAACAUGGCUUAUGUAAAUUAAAGCUCUCGGACUUUGCCUUUAAUGUGUUUGUAAUUCUUUCCUGCAUCUGGGUUUCCUACUGAUUGCCCAAUUGUGACACGGUCUAAAUCAGGCUUCUGCAACCUGCAGCUCCUGAGCCACAUGUGGCUCUUUUAGACCUCCAUUAUUGUUCUUUAGUUAAUAUAAAAUAAAAAUUAAAAAGCAACUUUAAAGGAAAAAGUAAGCAGUAGAGAUUAAAAUAAGUAAAUUAACUUAAACUUUUGUCAAAUCAUUCCCAAAGAGUUAAAGGA